rnacentral:rRNA from 1 species
AUGGACAAAUUAACUCCUCCUGCCAGCCGCGGCAACAGCAGUUCACAAGAAAGCACGUUGACACCAGAGAAGACGGUAAACAUCCCAAUCCCAGCGACAGAAGAGAAGAAGGUUCUAACUGACCACAAACAAGAACAGGGACUAGAGGAAUUACAAAACCUCCUUGAUCUGGACCAAGAGGCCAUCAUGACGAAGUGCAGAUUACUCAUUGAAAAGUUGAACACUGCUAGUGUACUAGUAUUUCCUUCUACGUGUGAUGAAAAGCAGCAGCUUGAGGUCUACCAGCGGCUUUCCCGCUACUACAUCCAAGCCCUUGAGUUAUCUUCUUUUAGAGAGAAACUGGAGGAUGCACAAAGGAACAAGCAGUUGGACGCUCUGUAUGUUUAUGAAAAUAUUUUCCUUCAGCGCGUCAAACAGGAUCCUGAAUGGUAUUUCCAUCCUGAACAAUGCAAGCUUGCUGGUUUGGACGACUACCAGCGGCUAGUGCUUCGUGAUGAUCCAAUGUACGGAGAUUGGGAUGAGUACCGCCUGACUUACCAUACCUACCAGGGAGAUCUAGAAUAUGUCAAGUUCCGUGAGGAGAUAUCAGCGAAAAUUAAGUGGAUUGAAGAUGAAGCAGCACUCUUUGGGGAUCAGCGGAUGAGAAACGAGCUAGUGGCUCUCUUUCAAUCAUUGAAGAUUGCGCUGCAGUUUCGUGAUAUUCCUGGACGUUCAGUUAUGUCUGGCUUCAGAGAGCAUAUAAAUAACCUUCGGUUUGACUUCAAAGACAGGAAGGACUUGGUUGGUCUCUAUCUUGAGUUAUGGAAACGGGUUGCUAAGAAUAAGGUGAAUUUCGGUGAGGCUUUGAGGCAAUUGUAUAAAGAGGACAUUUUCCCCUCCCGCAGGGCUUUGAUCAAAUUUGCGCUGGAUAGCUGUCCAGACACAAGUUUGGUAAAAUAUAACUAUGAUACCUACGUGGAUGGCAUUGAUGAGAAGCUUCCGGAAGACGAAGCUCAUCCCUUGAUCAUGGAGGCCGUUAAGAAAAUGUUUAAGAAACGGAAGAACUAUUUGGAUUACACCAGAAAGAAGUUGGAAAUCGCAGCGCGCAUUGGGUUGAUUCCCACAACAGCCUAG